rnacentral:rRNA from 1 species
UACAGAGGGUGCAAGCGUUUGUUCGGAAUUAUUGGGCGUAAAGCGCGUGUAGGCGGCUUUGCAAGUCGGGUGUGAAAUCCCUCAGCUCAACUGAGGAAGUGCGCCCGAAACUGCAGAGCUUGAGUGCCGGAGAGGGUGGCGGAAUUCCCCAAGUAGAGGUGAAAUUCGUAGAUAUGGGGGAGGAACACCGGUGGCGAAGGCG